GUCAAAUGGGCUUCCGAAUCUCUCUCCUUGAUUGAAACCUUCGAAUCUCCAAUUCUUCUGCUCUUCAAUCUCUCACUCCAAAAUCACCUCCAAUGGUUGAAAGUCCCUGUUUGUUUAUAAUUAGUGCCGCCCAAGACGUUCGACGAAGAUUUAUAUCCAUCGGAUCUCUCUGCCGUCAUGUCCGCCCGGCACAUCGAACGCCGUGUGCCUACUGCUGGGAUUUUAUUUUUUAGGGGAAAUCUAAAUUAGGGAUUUAGAAAGGGCUGAAAUUGGAGAUGCGCCGCUGUUUCAUCACCGACGGGGUCCACCAGAGACUGAUUUUCCGUCGACGAGGAAGCAGUGGCGAAAUCAGUUAAUAAUAAUAACAAGCAGUUGGUGUUUGGGGAUGUCUAUGGAGCUGGUUCGCUUCUUAAACAGGUGGAGCUUGAAAAAGCCCAGAAUGUGGACCUUAAGUUCCAAGUUCCUGAUGUUGGCAAAGCGAUUCAGAAUUUUAUUCAUGAUGAAGAUAUACGGCUUGAUACGAUCAAAGCUAGAUUUAGAAAUGUCAUCAAACGACAUGCUGAAUGGACGGAGCGACUUUCAAGGCAUUCAAAGAAGCCGAUGUAGAUCUAGACGGAAAGAUUUGUAGAUCUGAAUGGCAUCAAUUUGUAUCCAAAAAUCCCAAAUUGUUGAAAAUAAUGACUCUCCAAUAUCUCAGAGGACUAAAGCUAUCAAGGCCCGACUUGAGCAAAUGGACCGCGCUACUGCUGAAAAUUG